GAUGAACGCUGGCGGCGUGCCUAAUACAUGCAAGUCGAGCGAACAGAUGAGGAGCUUGCUCCUCUGACGUUAGCGGCGGACGGGUGAGUAACACGUGGAUAACCUACCUAUAAUACUGGGAUAACUUCGGGAAACCGGCGCUAAUACCGGAUAAUAUAUUGAACCGCAUGGUUCAAUAGUGAAAUACGGUUUUGCUGUCACUUAUAGAUGGAUCCGCGCCGCAUUAGCUAGUUGGUAAGGUAACGGCUUACCAAGGCAACGAUGGGUAGCCGACCUGAGAGGGUGAUCGGCCACACUGGAACUGAGACACGGUCCAGACUCCUACGGGAGGCAGAAGUAGGGAAUCUUCCGCAAUGGGCGAAAGCCUGACGGAGCGACGCCGCGUGAGUGAUGAAGGUCUUCGGAUCGUAAAACUCUGUUAUUAGGGAAGAACAAAUGUGUAAGUAACUAUGCACGUCUUGACGGUACCUAAUCAGAAAGCCACGGCUAACUACGUG
rnacentral:rRNA from 1 species